UUGAAGUGAGGUUGGAAUAUCUUUCAAUUCAUAUAUUUACUUAAAUGAAUCUGAAUUAUUUCAUGUUUAUUUCCUAUACUUGACACAUCUCCCCUCCACGUUAAAGCUGGCCCCCAGCUUUUUGGGAGGUAAUGAAAAACAAAAAAAAAACAAAUUGAAAUUCAAAUGAAAACUCACAACUCAAUAAAAAUAUUUUCAAUAAUAAAAAAAAACAAUGGGUUUAAAGUAUGAUCACGAACAUCAAUAACAAACUAUAUGUCCUAUAAAAAUUGGGAAGAACCAUAUUGUCCAAUUGAUUCUGCAACUAUGAGUUCCCACACUAAUAUUGUCAUAGUCCGGCACUGAACUUUAUCUGUCUUUGUGUCACUCCACCAAUCUGUCCGCACAUCGUUCCGUGUCUUGGUUCUGAUACACUUUGGUUGACGGCUGCUCGGCUACCACAACUCAACUGGAUGGAAACAUUGGCAACGUAGUAGUGGACUGAAUUGGACUGGACUAUAAUUACGUAUUACUUUGUGCCUUGCGUUUUCUCGUACUCGCAGAACAUGUUUUUCUGGUUUCUGUGAAAUGUAUCUGUCAUUCUGUUCUGUCAUUCUCUAUACAAUUGUGUAUAGAGAAGAAGAAGAAGAGUUACGACUUGACAUAUGAAAUACAUAUUAUUUGAUGAAUAUGUGAAUAUUUAGCAGCAUUUUUCGUUCACUGAAGCGAUUUUGAUUUCACACUUUCAAAUAUAUUUAUAUCUGUGUGUUCAUCGUGUAAUAGUGUAAUCAAGUUAUUAGCUGCCCAGGAAUAUAGAAAUUCACUCCGUCGAGUGCUUUUUGGAAACUUCAAACAUCAUCAUUUGUGGAUGUGUUUUGUCAGCAUUUAUGAAACUAGCGUUGUUUUCAUAAAUUACUUGCGAAAUAUUUUCUGUAGGCUGCUUGGGAUUUGGAUUAUCCUGGUAUGAUGGUGAUUCUGAAUUGUUUUGAGUAUUACAAUUCUAUUCACAUAUUAUUAUGUCUAUGGAUGAUGUUUGCUCACACAGGAACUGUUUAUCAGCUGCUCAGAACAACUGGUAACGCAACAACGUAAGUAUUUGUUUCUGGUUGAAUAUGGCACUAGUGACUGCGAUAUUCCUAUAGUCCAUUCAUUUGAGCCAUGAUGAUUCAACUUCAUGUUUCCCUAGAUCAUCGUGCUGUCUGUGGUAGGAUCUGCUGAAUGUCCUGGAGUGGAAAACCUUAACAGGGGUGAUGGAGUAGUGGAGUAGUGACUGCCUCGAAGUGCCUUGGGGUGUGGUGUUGCCUCGAUUGCAUGAAACAAGAGAGGAAUUUGGCAGCGUGGCGCUUAAGAUUAUGCAAAAAAUAGUGAACAAUAGUAUUUGAGGAAAAAACUUUUAGUGAAAGAGAGGUAAGUAUGCUUUAAGUGUAACACUGCCAUGUAAAACAUGUUUUAAUAAAAUUUUUGAAGAC